CUCUGUGGUGCUGAUUCCAAAAAAUUGUUUUUUGAUCCUCUGUUUUUACCGCUAUGAAAACACAAUCGUUUAUAAUGAUGAAACAUUGCCAGCAUACAAAUUCACAAAAUUUUGUGUGUUUUGACAUACAAAUGAUUCAAAAAUAACCCAAAACCUUUAUCAGAAUCAAUUGUAUGUUAAAAAAAAACUGAACUUUGAUCAGAUUGAUAGAAGAAACGAAAAACUAAAUAAUAAGCUAGCAACAUGUAUACUAUUUCCCUUUUUUUAGAGUUUCUAAGCCAAUCAGAAGGCUCUAUUUCGUACCCACUCGCAUAAAGAGCGCGUUGCGCGAGUGAGAGCAAUUCUGUG